AUUGAACGCUGGCGGCAGGCCUAACACAUGCAAGUCGAGCGAGCGGCGGGCGGGUGAGGAAGGUAGGGUGAAUGCGCGUUAGAUAGGGAUAACUACUGGAAACGGUAUCUAAUACCGCAUACUAUCGGAUACCGCAUAUGGGAUUAGCUAGUAGGUGAGGUAAUGGCUCACCUAGGCGACGAUCCCUAGCUGGUCUGAGAGGAUGAUCAGCCACACUGGGACUGAGACACGGCCCAGACUCCUACGGAGGCAGCAGUGGGGAAUAUUGCGCAAUGGGCGCAAGCCUGAUGCAGCCAUGCCGCGUGUAUGAAGAAGGCCCUAGGGUUGUAAAGUACUUUCAGUCGGGAGGCGUUACCGACCGAAGAAGCACCGGCUAACUCCGUGCCAGCAGCCGCGGUAAUAC
rnacentral:rRNA from 1 species